rnacentral:tRNA from 1 species
GCGGGGGUCUCCCAGUCUGGUCAAAGGAGCAGGGCUUAGGACCCUGUCGCAUAGGCGUUCGUGGGUUCAAAUCCCACCUCCCGCA